rnacentral:rRNA from 1 species
GUGCCAGCCUCCGCGGUAAUACCGGCAGCCCAAGUGAUGGCCGCUGUUAUUGGGCCUAAAGCGUCCGUAGCUGGCCGCACAAGUCCGUCGGGAAAUCCGCCCGCUCAACGGGCGGCCGUCCGGCGGAACCUGUGUGGCUUGGGACCGGGAGGCCUGAGGGGUACGUUCGGGGUAGGAGUGAAAUCCCAUAAUCCCGCACGGACCACCGAUGGCGAAAGCACCUUGGAAGGACGGAUCCGACAGUGAGGGACGAAAGCUAGGGUCUCGAACCGGAUUAGAAACCCCUGUAGUCC